GGUUAGGGAAGUCAUUGGAAUGAACAUGUCUGUCUUCCAAUCCCUGUUAGCUUUCUUGGCCGUGCCUGCUUCAAAGUCAAAGGCAACCAAAUGGUUAUUGGUAGCAAAAUUAAUGCACAAGGGAGUGAUAACAUGUGAAGAGAACACAAAAAGUUCCAACGAGUUGAUGUGUGUGGAAGCAUCUUUAAGCAGCCUUGUAAAUGAAGGUACUAAUGUUGCAACGAUGCAGACUGCACAUGAAAGGUUGGAGGCUUUGGAGAAUGGAAUUGAAAUCAUAGAAAAUGGUUUGGAGAGCGUAUUCAGGCGCAUGGUUAGAACAAGAGCCUGUCUUUUGAACAUCAUGACUCAAUAGAGUUUAGACAGUGAUUUUCUCUCCAAAUCCUCCAAAGUAUCCAAGUUUUAGGGAUCAGUUGAGGGUUGAAAAGUUUUGCCCCAUCAAUUUGUACAUGUAUACAAUUCAAAAGUCUUAACGAUGAAAUACAACUGAAUGUUUAUACUCUAUGUUUCGAUAUAUUUUUUCUUCAGGUCACCUUUUUCCUUGAGAGAAUAUUGCUUUACACUUAUCAUAUUUCUGUGACUAAGCAUAUAAUUUACUUGUUAGAGAAUGUUGGGUAAGUCAACGUCCUUAUCAGUUAAAAGUUCAUACUUAUAGUUAUCUUUUAAAAGCUACAAAACAGCCAAACUCACACCAUAUUGACAAGUAAUUACAUAUUUAUCAGAAUAAUGAAAAUGUAUUGCUUGGAUUCAACUGCGUAAAAAUAUGCUUAUUUCUAUUCAGCUGCUGUAUCAGUGGCUGCAGAUCUCAGCCGGCUGGACCAUGAUAUUUUAACAACCUUUUUUAAUAAAUUUUUAAUAACAGAUUAUGUAUUACUAUUUUAUUGGUUCAUAUAUUUAAAAUGAACCAAUCACAAGCUGUGAUGAGAUUGAAAAUUAUUUUCUUUCAGAGAGGAGAUCUUUUAUUCAAACAAAGAUGUCAAAAUUUUCUGCAAUAGAGUCACAUACUAAACAACAAUGAUGUGUGCAUACAAAACCUUUAACAAUAUAUAACAUCAAGCCAUUGAAACUGGGACGGUGGAUACUCGUCCUUUAACGUGUACUACAAUACAAAAUUCUUCAUUGGUUUAAAACAUGAUGAAAAGGAGUUGGUAAAAUAAAAAAGGGGGAGACAUAAGAGUUACAAGCCACUCGUGUACACGCCAAAUAACUCAUCCUUUUGUUCUCGAAAUCUGUACUCAAAAUUAAAAAAUAACUCAUUGUUGUCUAUUUGUCAAUGACAACCAGAUUUUGAUCUCAAAGAUCCAAAAGCCAUUUUUAACAAUAUUUUGCAGUUAUAGCUUCUUAUCAUUGAGACAAGCCAGGUAAUGUAUAUCCUUGAAGCUGAAACAACACAUUUUAUAAUUUGAAGCGAAGAGGCAAUGUGGCAGCAAAGGAGGCAAAUUAAUUGAUGACUAACGAAGUUUUCUGAUUGCCAACACUUGGAGAACAUGCCAGUUAUGCACAACCAAUGUGGCGUGUAUUAUAUCACAAAUAAUAGUGCACAAUGUUUGGCAGAGAUGUGACAAACUCAUCAAAUUCUCAGGAAACACAUGCUGCUACCACAUGUUCACAUUGAUCAUGAGAGGUUAACUGUGCUGCCUGUUUUCUUGACCAAUAGGAAUCAAUCAUGAAUAGCUCCUAUAUAUAUAUAGAGUUAAGCACUUGGUGACAGCACCAAAACAUUGAGCUUCUCUUGAAAAAGAACAUAAACAAAAAGAGUAGCCAUGGCAAACAAGUUCCAUGUUCGCUCUAACAGUUUUCCUUCUGGAUCUCAUCCUAACAUAACUAGAGUAGAGGAAGAGCUGAACAAGCUGAAAACUUGGGAAGCCACUAAAACAUCCACAUCAAACUCAAUUGGCACUGGCUUGUCUUCGUUAUCAGAUUUGCUUAUUUGCUUGGAAGAUAUUCUCAACAUGGCAUCAACCCAACAGCUGAUUUCUAAUCAUCAAGGUGAGAAAUGCAUGGAAGAGAUAAUGGAUGGUUCAGUGAGAAUUUUGGAUAUCUGUGUCAUCACAAGAGACACCAUGUUACAGAUGAAGGAAAAUGUUCAAGCCCUUCAUUCUGCUCUUAGAAGGAGAAAGGGGGAUUCAAGCAUUGAAAAAAUUGUAGCCGAAUAUAGUUUCUUCUCUAAGAAGAUGAAGAAGAAUGCCAAGAAGUUGAUGACUUCUUUGAAGCAGAUGGAGAGCAAAUUUGGAGUAUCACCAGUCUUGGAUCACGAUCAACAACUUGUUUCUUUGGUUAGAGUGGUCAGGGAAGUCAUUGUAAUGAACAUGUCUGUCUUCCAAUCCCUGUUAGCUUUCUUGACCGUGCCUGCUUCAAAGUCAAAGGCAACCAAAUGGGUAUUGGUAGCAAAAUUAAUGCAAAAGGGAGUGAAAGCAUGUGAAGAGAAGCAGAAGAAUUUGAACGAGUUGCAGUGUGUGGAAGCAUCUUUAAGCAGCCUUAUGAGUGAAGGAACCAAUUUUGCAAAGAUGGAAGCUGCAAAUGAAAGAUUGAAAGCUUUGGAGAAUGGAAUUGAAAGCAUAGAAAAUGGUUUGGAGAGCGUAUUUAGGCGCAUGGUUAGAACAAGAGCCUGCCUUUUGAACAUCAUG
rnacentral:lncRNA from 1 species